ensembl:lncRNA
UGAAUAUUGACGGUGUUUACCAUAUGGUUAGUAAAGCCUUACAGUGAAUUUAAUCCUAUGCUACAGUAACAUAGCAAAAUACAUGAUGAAAACUUAUCUCUAUAUAUGUGUUAAAAUGUCCUUUCUAUUUGCAGAAGAACUAUCAUAAAUUAAACUUCUCUUUUUGAGCUUCGGGUCAGAUCUUUAAUCUUGAGUCAGAAUCUGAGCCAUAAAAUCUGAAGGAAACAAGGAGUUACAUCUUAACGGUAGUCAUCAGAAUCAUCAAGUUAAAGGUGUCAGUGGAAGUGAUCUAUCACAGUGAUGAAAGGUGCUUAAAAAGGCUUGACAGAAGUUCCCCAAAAAUGGUGAAGUUCACUUUCCUGAGAGCAUAACAUCACUAAAUUUGCCUUCAACAGGUGCUACACUGAGGUGUCAUUUUGUACAAUAUGACGAGUAACUGAUACAAGUCGCUUGGGAUUUGGCGCUUAUGUGGUACCAUAACAUGUCAAUGCUAUAAGAUGUCUAAAGCCUUGUGAGCUUCAGGAGUGUUCAGUUCCCACUGAGAUGACUUGAAUCUUCUAGCAGAAAAUGAGCUGGAUGUCAAAUCACCAAUAGCACAGUGCAUUCCUCCUGGAGAUUUGGUUUGGAUUAUGACAUGGGGAAUACACAUACCACUUCCUUUAUUACUUCCUUUUUUUCCUUUUAUUACUUCACUUUUGGUUUACAAGAAAGAGAGGAAGAAGGACCUGGAGAACUACAGGCUGGUGAGUCUCACCUCUGUGCCUGGGAAGACCAUGGAACAGAUCCUCCUGGAAGACAUGUUAAGGCACAUGAAUAAUGAGUGGGUGAUCAGAGAUAGCCAGCAUGACUUCACUAAAGGAAUGUCAUACCUGACCAAUCUGGUGGCGUUCUAUGAUGGAGUGACAACAUCAGUGGACAAAGGGAAGACAACUGAUGUCAUCUGCUUUGAUUUCUGCAAGGUCUUUGACGUGGUUCCACACUGCAUCCUAAUCUCUGUGUUGGAGAGAUGUGGAUUUAAAGAGUGGACUAUUCAGUGGAUAAGGAAUUGGUUGGAAGGUCACAGCCUUGGUCAAUGGUUCUAUGUUCAGGUGGAUGCUGGUAACAAGUGGUGUCCCCUCGAGUUCUGUCUUGGGUCUGGUACUCUUUAAUGUCUUUAUUAGUGACAUAGAUAAUGGGAUCAAGUAUACCCUCAGCAAGUUUGCUGCUGACACUAAGCUGAGUGGAUAAAGGAGAAGGAAGAGAUGUCAUUCAGGGGGACUUGGAUAAACUGGAAAGGUGGGCCCUUCUGAAACUAAUAAGCUUCAAAAAAGCAUAGUGCAAGGUUUUGCACUUGGGUCAAGGUAAUCCCAGAUAUGCAUACAAACUGGGAGAAGACCUCCUUGAGAGUAGCCCUGCUGAGAAGCAGUUAGGGGUCCUGGUGGGUGAAAAACGUAACAUGAGCCAGCGGUGUGCACUUUCAGCCUGGAAGGCCCAUGGUACCCUGGGUUCCAUCAGAAGAGGGUAGCCAGCAAGGCAAAGGAGGUGACUGUCCCCCUCUAUUAUGCCCUCUUGAGGCCCCAGCUGAAGUACUGAGUCCAGGUCUAGGGUACCCAAGACAGGAAAGAUGUGCAGCUUUUGGAGAUGGUCCAGAGGAGGGCCACGAACAUGAUCCAAAGGCUGAAGCACUUCUCCUAUGAAGACAGACUAAAGGAACUGGGCUUGUUCAGCAUGGAAUAGAGAGGGCUGCAGGGUGACCUCGUUGUGGGCAUAUAAUACUGAAGGGGAAUUUAUAAACAUGAGGGGAAUAAAAUUUUUGCAAGGGUAGAUAGUGAUAGGACAAGGGGGAAUGGUUAUAAACUAAAGGAAGGGAGAUUUAGAUUAGAUGUUGGGGAAGCUUCUUCUGAGAGAAUGAUGAGGUGCUGGAACAGGCUGCCCAGAGAGGUUGUGGAUGCCCCAUCUCUGGAGGUGUUUAAGGCCUGGAAAGAUUAGCCCCUGGGCAGUCUGAUAGUACUUGAUUUAGUGGCUGGCAACCCUGCCUGCCUCAAGGAUCUUGAUGAUCCUUGAAGUCCCUUACAACCCAAGACAUUCUAUGAAUCCAUGAGUCUCUGAUUAUCUAGCAAGAUGUUUAAUAUCUAGGCGUAUUUGGACCAGCAAGAUCAUUAAUGGCAUAUUGAAAAAAACAGAGAAAGUAUUGCAUACAGACUAACAAAUUAACAGGUUCCACAAUAUGUUAUAAUGUCACAUGACUUCCAGAAAGAGAAAUAGGGAUCCUGGUGGAGGAAUUAACUGUAAAGUCAAGGGAGUUUUGCUUUGUCAACUCUGUUUCAAGAACUUUACUCUCAUAUUUAUUUCUACUGUGAGCCUUGGCUGGCUUCUCAGCAUUAUACAAUAUUACUGUGGCAAACUGUUGAGAGGCAAUAUCUUCUAAGACAGUAAAUCUUUAAAAGGACAGAGGAAACCAUUAAUGCUAUACACUCUGUUUUAGUGUUUAUAGCUUUGUUUUUGUUUUUCAUUCUGUUUUGCAGAAAAAUUCAUUGUUUGGAAUACUCAUACCGCUGCCAUCAUGCUUUUAAAAAGAAAAGGGAUUUUUUUUUAGCUUUUUCUUCCCUUUUUCCUCUCCCCCUUUCCUGAUGGGGCUGCUUCUGUUAGGGGACUACUUAAAAUUGUCUAGUCUACUGUAUGAACAGAGGAAUAAAAGUAUAUUUUAUUUUACAUUAAAUAAUUUGCAUGGGACAAAUGGUUUCUAGCUUGUACAUUCAAAGCAAAGUCAUUGAGUGGUGCGCAUCUGCCUUUCUAAAGAUCAUCAGGUUGUGACAGAUGAGCUAAUCAGACCUUAUGAUUUGCCAGACAUCUGCAAGAGUUCUAAAUUAG